rnacentral:rRNA from 1 species
GUAGCCUGAUAUUGAAAUUCGGCACAGCUUGUACAGGAUAGGUAGGAGCCUUUGAAACGUGAGCGCUAGCUUACGUGGAGGCGCUGGUGGGAUACUACCCUAGCUGUGUUGGCUUUCUAACCCGCACCACUUAUCGUGGUGGGAGACAGUGUCAGGCGGGCAGUUUGACUGGGGCGGUCGCCUCCUAAAAGGUAACGGAGGCGCUCAAAGGUUCCCUCAGAAUGGUUGGAAAUCAUUCAUAGAGUGUAAAGGCAU